UGCCAGAGGCAAAAGGAUCCAAUCUAGAUCCCUAUAUUCAUUUUGAAUGGGCUGAACCAUUAAUUAGUUGAAGGUGCAGAGAUGGAGAUCCCUUAUCUGAUUGUUUUAGAACAUCAGUUCGAAUCCAAAUCGACUUAAUUACUCUAUCUUAUCUAUCUUUUGCAACUCUAAAGAAGGAAAGGAUCAAGUGUUUUGGAUAUCAGAUGGAUUGAAGUUUAGGAUUUAGGAAAAAAAUCUUAUAACCUCUUGUUACAGCCAAUCCCCUAUUGCGCCCGUUGUCGAAGAAGAGCACC
rnacentral:lncRNA from 1 species